ensembl:lncRNA
AAGUUAAAUGACUUGCUCAGUGUCUUAGAGCCAGUCAGAAGUGGACCCAGCUUCUUCAAAACCAAGUCUACUUGAGAUAUAGCCCAUGUGCUCCCUCCUGGUGACCCUAGGCAGAAGCUAAAGAUGCCUUCCUCCCAAAGACCUUGUGGAAGGUAGGAGGAGGAAGGACUCAGUUGUUGAAGGAAGGCUCUGAAUAUAGUUGCUACAGGUUUCCCUGAAGAUGACCGGUGGCCUUGGCCUGUACUUCCUGGUGUUGAAUUCAUGACCUCAUUUCCCUGAUCCCCCACCCACUUUGUAGCCCAGGCUGGGAGCACAUAGAGGACACUCAAGAUCAUUUAAAGCUCAAACUUCACAAGAUCUCAAUUUGUGUUGUACAGAGGGCAUAUUUCUUGCCAAAUCCACUGAUCAGAGUUGUGAAGAGCAGAUAAAAUCACCAAGGGAUCAAAAAUCUGGCAUCUGACUGUGGUUAGGCAUGGUGCCUCAGAGGUGUUGGACUACCUGAAUCUGAAUGCUGGUCCUCCGCUUCAGUGCUCCUGAAUCCCAGAAGACUUGCUUAACUUUUCCGAGACUCAUUUGUAAUAUGGAAAGUAUAUCAGUUCCCGUCUCAUAGCAUGUGUGCUAAGUCACGUCUGACUCUUUGUGACCCCAUGGACUGUAUCCCACCAGGCUCCUCUGACCAUGAAUUCUCCAGGCAAGAAUACUGGAGUGGGUUGCCAUGCCCUCCUCCAGGGGAUCUUUCCAACCCACAGAUUGAACCCAUGUCCCUUACAUCUUCUGCAUUAGCAGGCAGGUUCUUUACCACUAGCACCAACUAAGAAGCACCGCCCCCUGCCCCGAC